rnacentral:lncRNA from 1 species
CAGGAUAGAGUUUCCAAUGCUAUAGUGAGUGAGAAUGAUGAGAGUGACCUACUUGUCUUGCUUCCAGUUUUGCUGGACCCAUCUUGAAAGUGCUUUUUCUGAAAGUCAGUGAACCCCGGCUUGUUUCAUGUGUCAGGUGAGCUGAGGAGAUAGCAUCUUUUCUCCAACAGGCUUUGAAGAGAUGCUCCCUGUAGACCCAACAGAGCAGCAGCCCACUGGUUCCUACAGCUGGAUGAUGCCACCUGCUCAGGCCAGGGUCUCAGGGUUCCUCACUGGCCCCUUCCAAUAGCCACAUCCUUCCCAGAAAGAGAGGGGCCUGUCAGCCCUGGGGUCCUCUGUCCAGAGCUGGGGCUCUUCCUUCUGCCCAGGCACUGGGAACUGGGAUGCUGGGAUUCCAACCCAGAAGCUUGAAGCCCACUCUCUGGCCCAUCUUCCCAACAUCCACUGCCCUGGCCUUGUGCUAUCCCUCAAACCCAAGGGCAAGAGGCAGCUUACCUGGAGGGUGUGGCCAGGAGUCCAGCCAGCCUCACUUGCCUUCCCAGGGCUGUAUCUGUGAAUGAAGAAUAGAAGUAUUUCUGUUUAGCAGACUGCCAGCUUGAUGGGUCACUCUAAAGACUUCAUGUGUGGCAAGCAGCCCCUCCCUGAGCCCCCUGCCUGGAGCUGUGAAGGCUGGAGCAGGCCUGUCUACACCUCCUCCCUGGGCUGACUGGUGAGCCCAGCCUCCAGUGCAAAUGGAUUUUUCUUCUCCUAGGAGUCUGAAGGGACAGGGAAUCAUUUUAGGAUCUGUACAUAGUGAGCAGAGUCCCUUCUCCCUCUCAUAAUAAAGCAACCACAGAAGAGAAAUGAGUCACACUGUUAUGGAAGCUGAAGAUGAUGAAGAGCCAUGUCCAGAGCUCACAGGGC